UCCUUCUCAUUUAAUGCACCGAUCAUCUUCAGAAAAUCAAUGGCAUUUUGGACAGCCAAUGGUUCUGGAGGCUGGAGUGCUGCUGACAAAAAUUCUGCUAUACUUCCAACCUGCAAACUUUUUAUUUGCAAGCAAAGAGAGUUUAAGGGAGUUCUCAGAAGUUCAGGAAGUUGAUAUUCAGCAAAAGCUUCAUAGACACAUUUGGGGUAGAGGUGAUAGCAUUCACCUGGCUGCACGCGGCCAGCCCUGCCUCUUCUUUGCCGCGCUGAAGCUUGUGAUAUCCAUGAGGGCAGCAGACAAGGUGUAUUGUUCAAAGCAUCAUAUGUGGUCUCUUUAGCUUUUCCGC
rnacentral:misc_RNA from 1 species